AUCAACCACCGCAUAUUAAAAAAACUUGGGUAGGUUAUGGUAUUCAAAGAUUGGCGUUGACACAUUACCAAUAGUAUCGUAGGACACAAGCUUUACCCAUUCAUCAUAGCUAGGUUCAACUUCAAGCUGAUUUUCAAAUUCAACCUUAUUUUUCAGAAAGUCUAGACAGCAACUAUUUAAACAAUAACACGCACCACGUUUGGUAAUUUGAAUAAAAUAAGAGUUCCUCGAAAUUUAAGAACGAGUCAUAAAUAAUGCAGAUAGUGCCGAUACAUAGAUAAAUUUCAAGACCGUUGUUUUUUAGUCAAGACUUCGUGGCGCCUAAGAAGCAACCUAACAUCAAUUUUACAAGUACCUCAUUUAAUAGAACACAAUUAUACGUAUACUCCCAGACAGAAGUAAUACGACACGGACACUGUCCGAACGAUUUACAUCAUUACACAUAACAACUGGAGGUAGUGCGUGAAGUCUGCAAAAUAAUAUGUGACUCAAAAAUAAAGUAUUUUUACGUAUACACCUAUAGUCUUCAAUGAUAAGGAUCGACUAUACGACAGACAACAUAGCUAGAAGAUCCGUUAAGAAAAUUUCAAAACAUCCAUUGUCACAACGUCUGCAUGAUUCAAUGACAAUACGGAAACAUUUUGAAUAGCCUACUUUAUACAAUUUCAUGGUUGACGACUGGAAAUUGGUGCAUUUUUUUAACGUCGUUUCAUAAUAACGUAGGUAUAUGACUUUCAUUUUGAAAUUUAAUAAAUUUAAUUCGACAUUAUGUAAGUAGUUAAUACGCUCAAUUUACUUUGUUGUAGAAUAUAUACGAGUACUAGUAUCUAUAAACAAAGAUAAUUAAAAUAUAGAUGGAACGCAAAAAUCUGUUAGCAAAAACAUACCAAAGACACCUAGGUAUAGCAAUACCAUACUAUACAUAUUGAACCUUAUAAGACCAAUCUAUUAAGUACAUUUUUUGUUAUUUCAUCUAGUAUACCUACUAUAUUGAAAUUCUUAAUUUAACAUAUCAUUUAUUGUAAAUAACGCUUACAUUCAAGUAAUUAUAUUUACAUUACAUUAAAAUUCUAAUUAAAAAAAAACUGAUAACUGAGGAGAGACCGAGGAAAUAUCUAAGAUUCUUCAAAUAUCCCAUUUUUUAUUGCCCAAACCAAUUAAUAUUUAUUAAGUUACUAUGGAGUUAAUUCUCAGGCACAAUUUCUCUAAAAGUGAAAUUCAAAUUUAAUAUCACAGAGAAAUCUU